rnacentral:rRNA from 1 species
UUGGAGGGCAAGUCUGGUGCCAGCAGCCGCGGUAAUUCCAGCUCCAAUAGCGUAUAUUAAAGUUGUUGCAGUUAAAAAGCUCGUAGUUGAAUUUCGGGAUUGACACACCGGUCGUGCCUUAAGGGGUGUGAACUGGUGUAGUCAAUUUCUCACCUUCUGGAGAACCGCGAUGUCCUUAAUUGGGUGCCGCGAGGAACCAGGACCUUUACUUUGAAAAAAUUAGAGUGUUUAAAGCAGGCAUUUUUGCUUGAAUACAUUAGCAUGGAAUAAUAAAGUAGGACGGCAUGAUUCUAUUUUGUUGGUUUCUAGGAUCACCGUAAUGAUUAAUAGGGAUAGUUGGGGGCAUUAGUAUUCAAUUGUCAGAGGUGAAAUUCUUGGAUUUAUUGAAGACUAACUACUGCGAAAGCAUUUGCCAAGGAUGUUUUCAUUAAUCAAGAACGAAAGUUAGGGGAUCGAAGACGAUCAGAUACCGUCGUAGUCUUAACCAUAAACUAUGCCGACUAGGAAUCAGACGAUGUUAAUUUUUUAAUGACUCGUUUGGCACCUUACGGGAAACCAAAGUGUUUGGGUUC